CCGAUUUAUCAAUCUGCAAUGACAUGUACGCUCAUUUCGACCAGGUGCGACCGUUUUGUGAGUCACAGUUAGAGAUUAUCGUAAGUCUCUCCCAACGUUGGAAUCUGAGAUAUUUUCUGAAAAGGUUUCAUGAAUUAGGUCCAAUGUCUCAGACACCUAGACAAAUCGUCUUUGUUUUUUGUGGCCUUGGAUAUGAGUUUCUGCUGGGUGCGAAUGACUGGGAUUGGGUCUCCUCUAUCACUAGAAGACUGUACUCUUGCAACGUUCUGUACAAAGCAGGGACAGAAUUUCAUGCAGAAAUUCCCUUCAUUGCCAAGAGCCCCCACAUAUAAUGGAACAGGCAAGAGAUCAUUAAAACACACCAUAUGAGUGACACUUGAGUCCUGACAAUGAUGUUGCAGAGCUCUGCAGCUCCGUUAAGGUGUUGUUGGCCUCUUGGCUGCCUCCCUUCUUCCUUGGCCUGCCAUCAACACUGGUGCAACGGUGUGAUCUUGGCGAUGUCCCAGUGGUGCCAUAUUCCAUCCACUUCGUAUUGAUGAUCUUCCCAGUGUAACAGAACACAUCAUUGUCCGUUUGAAAAACAGAUGUUCUGUUCAGCUACAUCUUUUUGAGAGAGAGCCUCACAUUAUCCUCAAGAAUUCUCAGAUCCUAAUGCCAGCGCCUCCAUGCUUAAUGUCUCCGGACCUGAAUUCAAUUGAAAACCUGUGGGUAGAAUUGAAGAGAGGAGUCCACAAGCACAAACCUAAGCUAAUCAAUGAGCUUGAAAUAUGCUGCAUGGAGGAGUUGUGCAAGAUGCCUCCAAAAGAGAGUGUCAACCUUGUCUGGCUUUACAGGAAGAAGCUCAGUGCUGUUAUCCACUCCAGGACUUCAGGGGAGUCUUCACAAAAUAUUGACUGUAUACUACAAGUACACUACACAUUCAAUGUUUUGUUUGAGUAAUGAUUGCAUUGUUAGGAAACUAUAUGGCUCCCCGUUAUUUUUGAGUUCAUUAUUUGUGUUGUUAAUUUUUUGCAUUCACUUUAGCUCAAUUUCAUGAAGCAUGCCAAUAGUGCUUGAGUUUACUGUACAGGGAUCUUGCUUCCUGUCUUCCUGAAUAGGCCUUGUCAAAAUAAAAUUAUAAUUGGAAAAGAUCAUCUUCACUGGUAAACGUGUUUACAUGGGUAUUUUUUGGCUCUCAGGUCUCAAGUCUUUUAUUUUAAAAAACUGGGUGUAUGUUUUGAUUUCAUAAAUCUAUCAUGACAAUCAACAAACAACAAACCAAAAAAGGAUUGUUACUCUCAAGUCAGUAAAAAGAGUCAUUCCAAAAGAACGAAUAGUGUGUAAACAUCACUAGUGGUGGGUUGUUUGUGAAGAAUUGUUCUUUUAAAUUGCUCUUUUUGGUGAACGUUGGGCAUGUGAAAGGUGCUGUUCAUUUGACUCCUUAAUUUUUAAGCUCAAACAACGAUUAAUUGCAUGUUAAGUGAAAAGGUAUUCACUACAUAUUGUAUAUCCACCCUACAGAAAUAAUUAAAAGAGG
ensembl:lncRNA